UCAGGACGAACGCUGGCGGCGUGCUUAACACAUGCAAGUCGAACGCUGAAGCCUGGUGCUUGCACCGGGUGGAUGAGUGGCGAACGGGUGAGUAAUACGUGAGUGACCUGCCUUUGACUCUGGGAUAAGCCUGGGAAACUGGGUCUAAUACCGGAUGCGACUACUGCCCGCAUGGGCUGGUGGUGGAAAGGGUUAUGUACUGGUCUUAGAUGGGCUCACGGCCUAUCAGCUGGUUGGUGGGGUAAUGGCCUACCAAGGCGACGACGGGUAGCCGGCCUGAGAGGGUGACCGGCCACACUGGGACUGAGACACGGCCCAGACUCCUACGGGAGGCAGCAGUGGGGAAUAUUGCACAAUGGGCGCAAGCCUGAUGCAGCGACGCCGCGUGAGGGAUGACGGCCUUCGGGUUGUAAACCUCUUUCAGCAGGGAAGAAGCGGAAGUGACGGUACCUGCAGAAGAAGCGCCGGCUAACUACGUGCCAGCAGCCGCGGUAAUACGUAGGGCGCAAGCGUUGUCCGGAAUUAUUGGGCGUAAAGAGCUCGUAGGCGGCUUGUCGCGUCUGCUGUGAAAGCCCGGGGCUUAACUCCGGGUGUGCAGUGGGUACGGGCAGGCUAGAGUGCAGUAGGGGUAACUGGAAUUCCUGGUGUAGCGGUGAAAUGCGCAGAUAUCAGGAGGAACACCGAUGGCGAAGGCAGGUUACUGGGCUGUUAC
rnacentral:rRNA from 1 species